rnacentral:lncRNA from 13 species
CUGGCUGUAGGCAUAUGAUUCCUGUGCUUUUGGCCUUGUGCCAUUCAAUACUAACGGUAGAAGUCCCCUGAGAAUUAAAUACAAAUUGCAGGACAUGGAAAGGAAAUAAAUUAGUGUGGCUUCAUUUUAAUGUCACAGAGAAGGCAGAGUCAACUUGCAUGUACAUGUAUUAUUGUUAUACAGUUUACAGUACUGUAAUUGUUCAAGUGUUUCCUGUUGUUUCUCUAGGGAGCAGAGGGAGAAACGGGGAUUCAAGGGUUACCUUGUGACCAAGGACUGCCGGGUGGUUCAAAGGUAAUGAAUUGCAAAAUGAUGCUCACUUAUCAACUAUAUUACAAAAGUAACUUAACUCUGUAGAGUAUGGCUUUUUUGGUUGAUUAAUUGUUAGUAUCAUAAUAUGUCAUAUUAAUAGUCAUAUUAUGACUGACUGUAGGUAACAUGUCUUCCAUUGUUUUCUGGGGGAAACUGGAGAGCCCAGUCCCAAAGGAAGCCAAGUAUAAAACAACACAUAGUCCUUUUGCUUUUUAGAUGUGUUCAUGACUUAUAUUUUAAGAAACAGCAGUUAAUGGUGUUUUCAUUUUUCAUCGUCACCCUCCCUUUCUCUUUCUCUAGGGUGAGAGGGGGAAUGAUGGUGUGCCUGAGACCCCUGGGACAAGCGUAUGUAACUUUUCCCCACACUCGACUCUACUUGAGGGGCAUGCAUUACUCGUAACUGAUAUAGAUGUUCACACUGCCUUUUUAGACUCUGUUUUCAUGUUUUUCCAUGUCAUUGCCGCUCUGUAGGGUGAAACUGGGCUCAGAGGCAGAAAAGGAGAGGUCUACAGGCUGCUCGUUAUGGCGCACACCUGUCACCAUCGUUACGCGCACCUGCACGUCGUCAGACUCACCUGGACUCCAUCACUUCGUUGAUUACCUGCCCUAUAUAUGUCCCUCCCUUUGGUACCAUUCCCCAGGUUUCAUUGUUUCUGUUUCAUGUCUGUGUGUUGUUCGAGGUUCUUGUUUUGUAUUAUGUUCUGUUUAUUUUCUUAAAACAGUUUUUUGUUUUUUUUGGUCAGGCUCCCCUGCCUCAGCCGGCUCGACAGGCUCCCCUGCCUCAGCCGGCUCGACAGGCUCCCCUGCCUCAGCCGGCUCGACAGGCUCCCCUGCCUCAGCCGGCUUGUCGGGCUUUCAUGCCUUUGCCAGAUCCCCUGCGUCCACUGACUCGUCAGGCUCUCAUACCUCAACCGGAUCGCCAGGCUCCCCUGCCUCAGCCGGUCUGGCAGGUUCCCUCGUCCCAGCCGGCGACAGGUUCCUGCGCAUCAGCGGGGGUGACCGGUCCGCCCCUGAUCCCCAGGAUCGUCCCUUGGGUUGGCAUCCUGCGGCUGGUGCCAAACACGCCCGGGAGGGGGUACCGUCAGUUAUGCUCUCUCUCCGGCACUCUAGGUCGCCAUGCUCCUGCGUCUCAGCCGGAUAGAGUUUCCUGUGCCUCUGCAGAGGUGUCCGGUCCGCUCCUGUUCUCCGGGAUAGUCACUUUGGGUGGCGUUCUGCAGCUGGAGCCGCGCGUCGGGAAGGGGAUACUGUCAUGUGUGCUCCCUCUCCGACCUCACCAGGCUGCUCGUUAAGGCGCACACCUGUCACCAUCGUUACGCGCAUCGUCAGACUCACCUGGACUCCAUCACUUCGUUGAUUACCUGCCCUAUAUAUGUCCCUCCCUUUGGUUCCUUCCCCAGUCAUCAUUGUUUCUGUUUCAUGUGUGUGUGUUGUUCGAGGUUCUUGUUUUAUAUUAUGUUCUGUUUUAUUUUAUUAAAACACUCACUCCCUGAACUUGCUUCCCGACUCUAAGCGCACGUCGUUACUCACUCUCUCACACACAGUAUCUUCUGUUUUGCAUUUGAGUAUAUGCAAUGACCCCGUGCACAAUUGACAUACUUACAAAUGCGUCUUAAGAAGACAGUGAUCGUAAUUGCAAUGAGCCCAACAAUUGACAUAAAUACAGGAGUCUUGUAUAGGAGUGUAGUGUUUCUCCUGUUGGAACAUUUUUACAACCUAGUCGAUGACUGAUGGAUUUUAAAUGAACAAAAUAUGUUGGUUGGGUGACUAAACUACAUAACGUGUUAUCGUGUGCAAUGGGAGAGUCUGCAGACACACGGCGCUUACAGCAGCAGAACAACGUGUAGUGAUUUUACAAGAGUAGGUAACACCAAAAGCUUCAGUUUACAUUAAUGACCAGCUAUUUGCUGUCAGAGCAGCUCACAGAUCACUGCAACUGUACAUAGCCCAUCUAUAAAUAGCCCAAACAACUACCUCUUCCCCUACUGUAUUUAUUUAUUUAGCUCCUUUGCACCCCAGUAUUUCAACUUUGCACACUCAUCUACUGUCAAAUCUACCAUUCCAGUGUUUAAUUGCUAUACUGUAUUUACUUCCCCACCAUGGCCUAUUUAUUGCCUUUACCUCCCUUAUCUCACCUAAUUUGCUCACUUAUUUUCUACUGUAUUAUUGACUGUAUGUUUGUUUUACUCCAUGUGUAACUCUGUUGUUAUAUGUGUCGAACUGCUUUGCUUUAUCUUGGCCAGGUCGCAGUUGUAAAUGAGAACUUGUUCUCAACUUGUCUACCUGGUUAAAUAAAGGUGAAAAAAGAAUAAUAUACAGAAAGUAUUCGGCCCCCUUGAACUUUUCGACCUUUUGCCACAUUUCAGGCUUCAAACAUAAAGAUAUAAAACUGUAUUUUUUUGUGAAGAAUCAACAACAAGUGGGACACAAUCAUGAAGUGGAACGACAUUUAUUGGAUAUUUCAAACUUUUUUAACAAAUCAAAAACUGAAAAAUUGGGCGUGCUUAAUUAUUCAGCCCCCUUAAGUUAAUACUUUGUAGCGCCACCUUUUACUGCGAUUACAGCUGUAAGUCGCUUGGGGUAUGUCUCUAUCAGUUUUGCACAUCGAGAGACUGAAAUUGUUUCCCAUUCCUCCUUGCAAAACAGCUCGAGCUCAGUGAGGUUGGAUGGAGAGCAUUUGUGAACAGCAGUUUUCAGUUCUUUCCACAGAUUCUCGAUUGGAUUCAGGUCUGGACUUUGACUUGGCCAUUCUAACACCUGGAUAUGUUUAUUUUUGAACCAUUCCAUUGUAGAUUUUGCUUUAUGUUUUGGAUCAUUGUCUUGUUGGAAGACAAAUCUCCAUCCCAGUCUCAGGUCUUUUGCAGACUCCAUCAGGUUUUCUUCCAGAAUGGUCCUGUAUUUGGCUCCAUCCAUCUUCCCAUCAAUUUUAACCAUCUUCCCUGUCCCUGCUGAAGAAAAGCAGGCCCAAACCAUGAUGCUGCCACCACCAUGGUUGACAGUGGGGAUGGUGUGUUCAGCUGUGUUGCUUUUACUGUCAUGUAUUGUCAUGUUGUGUCUUUCUGUCCUUUCCUUUCACCCUGUCUCCCUCUGCUGGUCGUAUUAGGUUACCUUUUCUCCCCCGCUUUCCCCCAGCUGUUCCUUGUCUCCUCCUAACUACCCAUUCACCCCGUUUCCCACCUGUUCCCUUUUUCCCUCUGAUUAGGUCCCUAUAUCUCUCUCUGUUUUUGUUCCUGUCCUUGUCGGAUUCUUGUUUGUUGUGUUUCAUGCCUGAACCAGACUAUCGUCAUGUUUGCUGUAACCUUGUCCUGUCCUGUCGGAAUCUGCCGGUCUGUCUGAACCUACCUGUGUUUGGUAAUUAAAGAAGCUCUGUUAAGUUAAUUCGCUUUUGGGUCCUCAUUCACUCACCGUGACAGAAGAAUCCGACCAAGAAUGGACCCAGCGACUUCGGAUCCUCUCCACUCAGCCGUCGAGAUCCAGGGAGCGAUGCUAGGCAGACACGAGCAGGAAUUGUCUGCUGCUCGACAUGCCGUUGAGACCCUGGCCACCCAAGUCUCCAACCUCACAGAACAGGUUCACCAUCUCCGCCUCGAUCCACCGGCCACUUCCAGGGCUUUCGAAUCUCCGGAGCCCAGAAUCAAUAACCCGCCGUGUUACUCUGGGGAGCCCACUGAAUGCCGCUCGUUCCUCACCCAGUGUGAUAUUGUGUUUUCUCUCCAGCCCAACACUUACGCCAGGAGCACUGCUCGUGUCGCCUACGUCAUAUCUCUCCUUACUGGACGGGCUCGUGAGUGGGGCACGGCAAUCUGGGAG